UACGGGGGGAGCAAGCGUUAAUCGGAAUUACUGGGCGUAAAGCGUGCGCAGGCGGUGAUGUAAGACAGGUGUGAAAUCCCCCGGGCUUAACCUGGGAACUGCAUUUGUGACUGCAUAGCUAGAGUACGGGUAGAGGGGGAUGGAAUUCCGCGGUGUAGCAGUGAAAUGCGUAGAUAUGCGGAGGGAACACCGAUGGCGAAGGCAAUCCCCUGGACCUGUACUGACGCUCAUGCACCGAAAGCGUGGGGAGCAAACGAGG
rnacentral:rRNA from 1 species